GAGGCCUUGGGACUGGCUCAGGAAGGUCGGCAACGACCAUCCAGAGCCGGAAACUUGGUCAAACUUGGUCAUUUAGAGGAAGUAAAAGUCGUAACAAGGUUAACCAUCGAUGUAGGUAAUUCACCUCCCGAAGCCUUGAAUUUCAGUCUAUUCUAAAUAGGCUACACCGGUCUGUUGCUAGGCCUAACGUUCAUAGUACUUGAAUGUUUAACUAGCAGUCGUUUAUACGAUUCACAGGUCAAACACCGGUGGUUAGCAAAUUCGCGAAUUUAGAUAUGAUCGGUCAGUCUUUGUGAAGAAGUCUGGUUAAACGUUCCGUAGGUGAACCUGCGGAAGGAUCAUU
rnacentral:rRNA from 1 species